CGGGGUGGGAGAAGGGGUAGAGACGGGUGCACUGUGCAGAGGGAAUUUUUUUUUCAGCGCCGGAUCCUGCAGAGGGGCGAGGCGCUCUAUUUUGUUUUGUGGAAAUCGGCAAUUAUUUCUAGUUGGAUCAAUGGGCAUAAUUUCUGAGAGGUCGGGUGGGUCUGCGUAAGCUUCUACGCGCAUUUGGAAACCCAUUGGGUUUUGAGUUACGAAACCGCACAGACUUUCUCCCACCCCAGCGGCUCCGGGCAAUAAGCUAGGCCUGCCCUACACGGAGCAAGCGAGCGUCAGGCCUUCCCGAGGGAUUCCCAGAAGCAUGACCCGGUUCUGGUCGCAGUCCACCGAGGAUUGGAGCGGCAGUGACACGGGCGGCCCUGCAGCGGUAGAGCCAAGGCGAACGAGCCCCAAAUUCACGUUUUCACCCAAGAAUGCAAUCCAGAAUCCUUGUCCCCGUAUUCGAGUAGGGUGACCAGGAGAACCGAGGUGGGGGCAGGAAACCCAGACCGAGGGUGCCCCGCGAGUGGGCCGAGUUCCUUUCACUUUCCCCCAUUGCUCCGCAAUUUCGGGUGCAACUACCUGGGCCAAGCCCAGCUUCAGAGACUGGCCCCGUGCUCUGGAGAAAGCAACCACCACGGGAAGAGACUGCAGCCUCAGCGUCUCCUUGUCCGCUUCACCCUCAUCCUCUGUGCGGGAGAGGGCAGCAACAUACACGCCUGGCACCUUCCUUCUUUCCAAGAGUUGCGCUUUCCUAACCCUGCUCCCCGCUGGUUUUUCUCAUACUUCCUUGCCCCCUUUUGCAAAAUUUCCGCCUUGAUCUUAAAUACCUCGAAAUUCUCUGGGGCUCUGGAAAAGACAAAUUUUCUUUGGCAGAAGGAAUGGUGUCGCGCUGUCGACACGAAAGACUAUUUUUCUUGUUCCCUUUGGGGGGGGAGAAAGAAAGCAAGAAAGAAAGGAAAAUUAAAUCCACACGUGUGUGCUGGGCUUGCUCAAAGGGCCAGAUUCAAAACCAGAGAUGAAACGGGAGUACAAGGUUCUCAGCUGGGGUCCACUGAGGAGGUAGGAAGAAAAGAGAGCUGCCACUCCUGCCUGGAGCAGGGUGAGGAGGGUAGCCAAACCCCAAGUAGAAGGAUCAGUCACCAAGACAAUUGUUUGGUCGAGACCUCUAAUUUUUCUUCGGAACAACAGGCCAAGAAGAGUUUGGUGUUGGAUGUGACAGAGAAAACAUUAAAGGAAUAUUCUGGUUGAGCUCUUCCUUGAAUUUUCAGGAUGGGUCUCAUGUAGACCAGGCUGGCUCAGUUCCCCGUGUUUGCCCAGGAUGACCUUGAAUGUCUGUUCCUCCAGCAUCUACCUCUCCAGGGCUGAGAUUACAAGCAUGAGGGGGCGGGUUGUUGCUGAGAACAGAACACUAAGCACUUGACAUUCCCAACUCCCAACUCCCAUUCUCGGUAUUUUUGUAUUCUUGUUUUCUCAAGACUGAUGUCUGUAUACACACACACACACACACACAUACACACACACACACACACACACACACACACACACACACACGCAGAUAUUUUAGGCUCAUGAAUCUGCCAGCACUUGAGGUUCAAGACUAAUGAACUUUUGCAGCACGCCAGGGUUGCCUUGAUGUGAGUCCCCCUGGCUCAUUCAGCUCCAUACAGUUCUGCCAGAGCAAAACAGUCACAUGUGUCCCUUGCUUUGUGGAAGCAGUUUCUCUGGGGGCGGG
rnacentral:lncRNA from 1 species